AGCAGCCGCGGUAAUUCCAGCUCCAAUAGCGUAUAUUAAAGUUGUUGCAGUUAAAAAGCUCGUAGUUGAAUUUCGGGGCCAGUAGGUUGGUCGUGCCACUGGUAUGCACUGGCCUUACUGGUCCCUCCUUCUUGUAGAACCGUGAUGGCAUUAAUUUGUUGUUGCGGGGAAACAGGACUGUUACUUUGAAAAAAUUAGAGUGCUUAAAGCAGGCUCGCGCUUGAAUACAUUAGCAUGGAAUAACGGAAUAGGACGAUCGAACCUAUUUUGUUGGUUUCUAGGAUCGACGUAAUGAUUAAUAGGGAUAGUUGGGGGCAUUAGUAUUCAAUUGUCAGAGGUGAAAUUCUUGGAUUUAUUGAAGACUAACUACUGCGAAAGCAUUUGCCAAGGAUGUUUUCAUUAAUCAAGAACGAAAGUUAGGGGAUCGAAGACGAUCAGAUACCGUCGUAGUCUUAACCAUAAACUAUGCCGACUAGGGAUCGGAUGAAGUUAAUUUUUUAAUGACUCAUUCGGCGCCUUACG
rnacentral:rRNA from 1 species